AACGAACGCUGGCGGCAGGCUUAACACAUGUAAGUCGAGCGCCCCGCAAGGGGAGCGGCAGACGGGUGAGUAACGCGUGGGAAUCUACCGUGCCCUACGGAAUAGCUCCGGGAAACUGGAAUUAAUACCGUAUACGCCCUACGGGGGAAAGAUUUAUCGGGGUAUGAUGAGCCCGCGUUGGAUUAGCUAGUUGGUGGGGUAAAGGCCUACCAAGGCGACGAUCCAUAGCUGGUCUGAGAGGAUGAUCAGCCACAUUGGGACUGAGACACGGCCCAAACUCCUACGGGAGGCAGCAGUGGGGAAUAUUGGACAUUGGCCGCCUUUCUGAUCCUUCUAUGUCGCGUUAUUGAUGAAC
rnacentral:rRNA from 1 species